UACGAAGGGGGCUAGCGUUGCUCGGAAUCACUGGGCGUAAAGCGCACGUAGGCGGAUCGUUAAGUCGGAGGUGAAAUCCUGGAGCUCAACUCCAGAACUGCCUUCGAUACUGGCGAUCUUGAGUUCGGGAGAGGUGAGUGGAACUGCGAGUGUAGAGGUGAAAUUCGUAGAUAUUCGCAAGAACACCAGUGGCGAAGGCGGCUCACUGGCCCGAUACUGACGCUGAGGCACGAAAGCGUGGGUAGCAAACAGG
rnacentral:rRNA from 1 species